rnacentral:rRNA from 1 species
AGUGAACGCUGGCGGUAGGCCUAACACAUGCAAGUCGAACGGCAGCACAGUAAGAGCUUGCUCUUACGGGUGGCGAGUGGCGGACGGGUGAGGAAUACAUCGGAAUCUACUUUUUCGUGGGUGAUAACGUAGGGAAACUUACGCUAAUACCUCAUACUACCUACGGGUGAAAUCAGGGGAUCUUCGGACCUUGCGCGAUUGAAUGAGCCGAUGUCGGAUUAGCUAGUUGGCGGGGUAAAGGCCCACCAAGGCGACGAUCCGUAGCUGGUCUGAGAGGAUGAUCAGCCACACUGGAACUGAGACACGGUCCAGACUCCUACGGGAGGCAGCAGUGGGGAAUAUUGGACAAUGGGCGCAAGCCUGAUCCAGCCAUACCGCGUGGGUGAAGAAGGCCUUCGGGUUGUAAAGCCCUUUUGUUGGGAAAGAAAAGCAGCAGGUUAAUACCCCGCUGUUCUGACGGUACCCAAAGAAUAAGCACCGGCUAACUUCGUG